UAAAAGCAAUCUAUUAAAUGGCCAGUCCAGAGCAGAAAUUAAACCAUUUUUAAAUAAAUGGGAUAUGCAUGCCAGAGCUCGAAAUUCUGAUUCUGGGCCAUUACUGUCCAAUGUGCCAGUAACAAGCCAAAGGAAAAUUUCGUUUACUGUAAUAAACUGAGUCAACUCAUAUUGUUUUCAGCGAGUCACUUUCCUCAAUGCCCCCGAAUCCCAAUCGUCGACACAAAAAAGAACUGCUAAAGCAAAACCUCAAACCCAGAAAUUCGCUUUGCUCUUUUCUUUAUUUAGAGAGAGAGAGAGAGAGAGCAAAAACAAAACUAAAACAGAAUAUCCGACAUGGAUUUCUCAGAACAAGAAAUAGAUGUCUUUGGAGAAGACUAUAACAACAACAGCAACAACAAUCAUGAUGAUUCCCUUGAAUCCUCUUCCUCUCAUUCAUCUUCAUCAUCAUCCUUUGCUUCAUCGUCAUCGUCGGCUUCUUCCUCAUCCACCGGCAGGCGGCGAUACCAGCAGUUCCUGUGGAAGCGCAUGCAGCGGAGGAGAAGAAGAAAAUGGAGAAGAAUUAGGCAAUGUUAAUACCAUUGAUCUACGAUUAUAAAGAAAACAUUGAAAAGGGUAUUUUUGGGUAUGAAGAAGAAGAGGAAGAAAGAGAUCUUUUUGAGUCUGAUAAUGAAGAUUACUGUAAAACCCCUGCCACUAGCCCUUUCUCUAUUCCUGUGUUGCCGGUUAUUCGUAAUACUAAUAACCCAGGUAGAGGGGGUUUUGGACAUGGUCGCUGGCAGAAUGAUAGAGGUGCAGGCAUCCUUGGCCGUCCUGGUUAUCCUCCAAGGCAAGGUUUUGGCUCCAAAUUUGCUAAUGAACAUCGAGAUGAACGUAUUGUUUCUGAUUUAAAGCUUUCAAAAAGUGAAGAGACAUUAUCUAGAAAAUAUAUUGCUUUUCAGGAAGCGAGUAAAUUAUUUUUCCUUCUUUUUAUGAUUCAUCAAAUAUUUCGAGGUUGAUAUACCGGAGUAAUGUGAAGUAUCACUUUAGUCCAUCUGUACUUGCUUUUGUGGUCUUUUUUGCUAAAUGUGCUAAUUAAAUUUAAUAGCCAUGCGAACUUGCUUAAUAUAGCCUAUAGCUGUGUGGAAGGUGGAGAGGUGGAGAGGUUUACUUUGAUGAUCGCAGCUUGGGGCUUUUAAGUGUCUUAUUACUGAAGAUAUUGGAGCUGAUCUCAAUCAAGGUUUUGAUACUUUUAUCAAGAAAAAAAGUUUUUUCUUGGAACCAGAACUAGGCUCUGGGGUUUUGGUGACCUUGCUUGCAUAAGAGACAAAAAUAUCCCUCUUCAAAGCGUUCAUUUUGUGACUUUUCGUAACAAUCUUAAUAAGAUAUUGGCUAAUGCUUAUAUUAGAAAUGAGCCUUGAAGGCAUAUGGGAACGCGAAUUCGUCACCCUUUAAUUGGACUAUGGCCUGCUAGAUUAAGUCGGAACAAUAACGUCUACUCUAAAUCCAUUAUUCAAAGUUUUGGUCAUUCAAGUCCAGCAUUCUCAUACUACAAGCAUAAAUAGCUAUCCUCAUACCAGGUAGAGGCAUUCAAUUCCCUUCACUUUCCUCUUUAAGAUUUUUCUCAUUCUCGCUCUUUUCGAAUUUAGAGUACAAACGUCAAAAAAAAACUUUUGACAUUUACUUCUGAUUUCUAGACUUGUAAUUUUAGAUUAUUGUUAUUGUUGGACAGCUCAACACUAGCAAUAUGGUAAUUAAAAAAAAAUGAUGUGGCAAUGAAAUGGUUAAUUAUUAGAGUUGAUGUGCUAAUUAUUUAUCGAUUUGGUAUUUAAAUGAACAGCAAAAUUAUUAAUUUGAUAAUAAACUACAUUGUGUUAUUAUCAAAUUAAGUAAAUUCUGUAAGAGCUUAACACAAAUUUAUCCCAAGUAUUAAACUUAUCAUUAUAGCAAUUAUUUGAAGAUUUGACCAACGUGCAAAAUUGUGACGGCAAGUUGGGAGCUGCUCAGACUUAUUCGAGUUUAUUUAGUAUGCUUCUAUAAGCUAAUCAUAUCAGA